UGGGUCGAUGUCCGAGCGGCUAAUGGGGACUGACUGAAGUUUGUUGGUAAUAUGUCUACGCUGGUUCAAAUCCAGCUCGACCCAAUA
rnacentral:tRNA from 1 species